UUUAAAAGAUCAUAUCAUUCGCUCUUUCUCUUCAUCUCCGUUAAAAAUCCGUUGCCGGUGAUCGUAUCACCUUCGAUAAGAAGUAAUCAUGGCUGGAGUAGGGCCGAUCUCUCAGGACUGGAAACCGGUGGUGGUCCGCAAGAAAGCCCCCAACGCCGCCGUCAAGAAGGACGAGAAGGCUGUCAACGCCGCCAGGCGCAGCGGCGAUGAGAUCGAGGCCAUCAGAAAAUUUACUAAAUAUCUUCACCAACGCCGCAAGAAAGCCCCCAACGCCGCCACCAAGAAGGACGAAAAGGCCGUCAACGCCGCCAGGCGCAGCGGCAAUGAGAUCGAGACCAUCAAAAAAUAUUGGAAAGUAUUCCUACCUUGCAAAAUGCAACUCAUCUUCUCAUCUUCAUUCCUCCUAUUGCAGGCAUUGGUGAUCCUUUGCUUUGUUUGCAUAAAGACCUGCAAAAUCUAUUGACUUCUGGGAAUCUUGAAUAUUUGUGAUAUCUAUCCACAACCGGUGUCUAUGGAGAUUGUGGAGGAAGCAAUCGGCAGGGGAUUUUAGAGCGGGUAAUGCAAGUGGAAUGAGAGGAUGGCAGACAUUGAGAUCGAAAAUCAACUAAAGAUAUUUAUACGAGAUCACAAUAUGAGGCAUCAGCUGCUAAUAAGGAGAGCUUCUUUGCGAGAAAAAUGCAAGAGAAUGAUUCGAGUCCUGAAGGGCUUCCACCAUCUCAAGGAGGUAAAUACGUGGGGUUUGGAUCAUCACCAACACCUGCACCCAGAAAUAACUCGCAAGGGCAGGGGGAUGUGAUGUCAGUUGUUUCUUAGCUUUGGAAGGUGAGUGCAUGUGAUAUAUGUGAGAUUGCUACGAAUUCAGUUUACCAAUCUGGCUUUUCACAUGCUCUUAAGUUUUGGAGAGAGAAGAUGCAAUUGGUUUAUCCAGGCAAG